UACAGAGGGGGCAAGCGUUGUUCGGAAUUACUGGGCGUAAAGGGCGCGUAGGCGGCCUUCUAAGUCGAACGUGAAAUCCCCGGGCUCAACCCGGGAACUGCGUCCGAUACUGGAAGGCUUGAAUCCGGGAGAGGGAUGCGGAAUUCCAGGUGUAGCGGUGAAAUGCGUAGAUAUCUGGAAGAACACCGGUGGCGAAGGCGGUCGACUGGCCCUAAACUGACGCUGAGGCACGAAAGCGUGGGGAUCAAACAGG
rnacentral:rRNA from 1 species